UGUUUCUAUUUCUUCUUUUCCUCCCUCUCUUUUUUGCCUCUCUUCUCUUUUUUUCUCUUCACUUUGGUGGUACCAAAAGGGAGAAAAGCCACUCUGGAGAAUCAAAGAAGAAUAAGAUUGGCAGAGAAGGGAAAUCUUUCUUU
rnacentral:ribozyme from 13 species